rnacentral:ncRNA from 1 species
AGGAGCCGUAUGAGGUGAAAAUCUCACGUACGGUUUGGAACGGAGAAUUCUUUGAAUCGAAUGACGACCGUAAC